UACGUAAGGGGCAAGCGUUGUCCGGAUUUACUGGGCGUAAAGCGUAUGCAGGCGGAUACUUAAGUAGGAAGUGAAAGGUGGGAGCUCAACUCCCACAUUGCUCCCUAUACUGGGUGUCUUGAGUGGCGGAGAGGGAGAUGGAACGACACGUGUAGCGGUGAAAUGCGUAGAUAUUAGGAAGAGCACCAGUGGCGAAGGCGACUUUCUGGACUGUAACUGACACUGAGGCUCGAAAGCGUGGGGAGCAAACAGG
rnacentral:rRNA from 1 species